GGAGAGGUGCUCGAGUGGUUGAAGAGGCACGCCUGGAAAGCGUGUAUACCCCUAAAGGGUAUCGGGGGUUCGAAUCCCCGUCUCUCCGCAA
rnacentral:tRNA from 1 species